rnacentral:rRNA from 1 species
UACGAAGGGGGCAAGCGUUGUUCGGAUUUACUGGGCGUAAAGGGCGCGCAGGCGGCUCUUCAAGUCAGAUGUGAAAGCCCCGGGCUCAACCUGGGAACUGCAUUUGAGACUGAAGAACUCGAGUUCGGGAGAGGAUGGCGGAAUUCCCAGUGUAGAGGUGAAAUUCGUAGAUAUUUGGAAGAACACCGGUGGCGAAGGCGGCCAUCUGGACCGAGACUGACGCUGAGGCGCGAAAGCGUGGGGAGCAAACAGG